UACGGAGGAGGCAAGCGUUAUCCGGAAUUAUUGGGCGUAAAGCGUCCGCAGGUGGCACUUCAAGUCUGUCGUCAAAGACUGGGGCUUAACCCUGGAAAGGCGGUGGAAACUGAAGCGCUAGAGUGCGGUAGGGGUAGAGGGAAUUCCCGGUGUAGCGGUGAAAUGCUUAGAUAUGACAUAGAAUACCUAUUGCGAAGGCAGCUUACUACGCAGAUAUUGACGCUCAUGCACGAAAGCGUGGGGAUCAAACAGG
rnacentral:rRNA from 1 species